GAAAUGCGAUAAUUAAUGUGAAUUGCAGAAUUCAGUGAAUCAUCGAGUCUUUGAACGCAUAUUGCGCCCCCUGGUAUUCCGGGGGGGCAUGCCUGUCCGAGCGUCAUUGCUGCCCUCAAGCACGGCUUGUGUGUUGGGCUUCCGUCCCUGGCAACGGGGACGGGCCCAAAAGGCAGUGGCGGCACCAUGUCUGGUCCUCGAGCGUAUGGGGCUUUGUCACCCGCUCCCGUAGGUCCAGCUGGCAGCUAGCCUCGCAACCAAUCUUUUUAACCAGGUUGACCUCGGAUCAGGUAGGGAUACCCGCUGAACUUAAGC
rnacentral:misc_RNA from 1 species